UUUAAAUGGCCGCAGUACCCUGACUGUGCUAAGGUAGCAUAAUCAAUUGGCUUCUAAUUAGAGUCUGGAAUGAAAGGAAGCAUGAAAUAAUUCUGUCUUAAAAGAAAUUUUUUGAAUUUAUUUAAAUGAUGAAAAUAUCAUUUUUUAGAAAAAAGACGAGAAGACCCUUAGAGUUUUAACUAAUUUUAGUUUUUGUUGGGGCGACAAGUAAACAAUUAAACUUUAGUAAUUAAUUUGAAUAUAUCGAUUUUUUUUAAAAAUAAUUAAACUACCUUAGGGAUAACAGCAUUAUUUUUUAAAAUGAUUGUGACCUC
rnacentral:rRNA from 1 species